ACAGGGAUUGCCCUAGUAACGGCGAGUGAAGCGGCAACAGCUCAAAUUUGAAAUCUGGCGUCUUUGGCGUCCGAGUUGUAAUUUGCAGAGGGCGCUUUGGCAUUGGCAGCGGUCCAAGUUCCUUGGAACAGGACGUCACAGAGGGUGAGAAUCCCGUACGUGGUCGCUAGCCUUUACCGUGUAAAGCCCCUUCGACGAGUCGAGUUGUUUGGGAAUGCAGCUCUAAAUGGGAGGUAAAUUUCUUCUAAAGCUAAAUACUGGCCAGAGACCGAUAGCGCACAAGUAGAGUGAUCGAAAGAUGAAAAGCACUUUGGAAAGAGAGUUAAAAAGCACGUGAAAUUGUUGAAAGGGAAGCGCUUGCAGCCAGACUUGCCUGUAGUUGCUCAUCUAGGUUUCUACCUAGUGCACUCUUCUAUAGGCAGGCCAGCAUCAGUUUGGGCGGUUGGAUAAAGGUCUCUGUCAUGUACCUCUCUUCGGGGAGAACUUAUAGGGGAGACGACAUGCAACCAGCCUGGACUGAGGUCCGCGCAUCUGCUAGGAUGCUGGCGUAAUGGCUGUAAGCGGCCCGUCUUGAAACACGGACCAAGGAGUCUAACAUCUAUGCGAGUGUUUGGGUGUCAAGCCCGAGCGCGUAAUGAAAGUGAACGGAGGUGGGAACCUUUCGGGGUGCACCAUCGACCGAUCCUGAUGUCUUCGGAUGGAUUUGAGUAAGAGCAUAGCUGUUGGGACCCGAAAGAUGGUGAACUAUGCUUGAAUAGGGUGAAGCCAGAGGAAACUCUGGUGGAGGCUCGCAGCGGUUCUGACGUGCAAAUCGAUCGUCAAAUUUGGGCAUAGGGGCGAAAGACUAAUCGAACUAUCUAGUAGCUGGUUCCUGCCGAAGUU
rnacentral:rRNA from 1 species